rnacentral:rRNA from 1 species
ACUCCUACGGGAGGCAGCAGUGGGGAAUUUUGGACAAUGGGCGAAAGCCUGAUCCAGCAAUGCCGCGUGAGUGAAGAAGGCCUUCGGGUUGUAAAGCUCUUUUGUCAGGGAAGAAACGGUGAGAGCUAAUAUCUCUUGCUAAUGACGGUACCUGAAGAAUAAGCACCGGCUAACUACGUGCCAGCAGCCGCGGUAAUACGUAGGGUGCAAGCGUUAAUCGGAAUUACUGGGCGUAAAGCGUGCGCAGGCGGUUUUGUAAGUCUGAUGUGAAAUCCCCGGGCUCAACCUGGGAAUUGCAUUGGAGACUGCAAGGCUAGAAUCUGGCAGAGGGGGGUAGAAUUCCACGUGUAGCAGUGAAAUGCGUAGAUAUGUGGAGGAACACCGAUGGCGAAGGCAGCCCCCUGGGUCAAGAUUGACGCUCAUGCACGAAAGCGUGGGGAGCAAACAGGAUUAGAUACCCGGGUAGUCCCAUGAU